UGGCAUCUUCAUAUCAUAUACAUUAUCUUACUUAUAACCAGUUUUAACAGCUUUCAGUUGUUUUUAGUUUAUCUGAGUGAUAAUUGGACUUACCUACUUCUUCACCGUCACCGAACUGCCCUAGUGUCUGAGUUUACUUGGAAUGUUACUAUUCUGCAGUCAGUGGUGUGGUGUGUAACGGGCCUACUUCAGAACUUCGCGUUUCAUAUUUGCCUUCACAAUAUGAAGGCUGUAUGUCAUUGUCGGCUGACAGGCCUGCGCGCGCGCCGCGACACCUCCAUGCAUAAAAUUAUUUUGGCCAGAAAUCAUUAGCACUGCACACUGACCGUUAUACAUAUCUACAUUAAAAAUUACCUAGUUACACGUU